AGUAAUUGACAUAUUCUUUACUCACUAACUUUGAAACUUCUUGAAAGCAACAGGUUAUGAGAAGUAGAUAUGAAAAAUGAAACUGCCAUCGACUUUCUUCCCAGUGAAAGCAGCCAGAAGAAACCCACCAGGAAGGCAGGAAAGUCCUGAUUCUUUUCCUUGCUCUACAAGCCGAUCACAGGUCUCAUCUUCUCUAUAUAUUCUGAGAUCAAGCCAUGGAUACAUACAUACCCACAGAGCAAGCUCACGCAGUUUAUUCAUUGCCCUAUUAUUCAAUUGACAUCUCCACACCAGUUUUACUAAGCAAAGCUAUAUUUGGAAAUGAGUCUGUUUUCAGCCAUUCUUAGUUGCUUUCUGCCUUCAGAUUCUUCACGUGUCUCGGAUGAUCUUGCAGUCUCUGGCAAGAAAGUGAAGGAUUCAGAGAAACCCACAAAGAAAUUGGAAUCAUCAACAGGAGCUCCCAUCGUAGUUUCGCACUUCCCUGUCAAUUCCUACCUCUCUCGCUUGUAGGACUCAUGAUCAUGUUGCCUUGAACUGGUCAGAUUGCAUAACAGAGAGUUCAUCUUCUACGGCCUCAUCAUCAAGAGUUAUUCUUUGCGAUCCAAAUGAUUGAAACUUGAUUGAACGAAGUGUUUGUACAACUCUUCCAAUGAUUGAUUAAUUUCCAUUUUUUUAAUGUAAUAUCACCAUUUUUUUCAUAUUAUAAACAAAAUUUAUCAUCA